AACGCAUAUUGCGCUCUCUGGUAUUCCGGAGAGCAUGCCUGUUUCAGCAUCAUUUGAACAAAUCAAAAUCGCCUUUGCGUGAUUUUGGAAGGCUGGGCCUUUUCUGUUGUGCGUCAGGCACAACUGGCCUGAAAUGUGUGACAAAUAAAUGCAAGAAAAACACGUAGUUGUGCUCUUUAUUGCAAAAGACGAAAAGCUAAUUAGUUGACCGUGGUCAAACUUGCUGAAUAGUCUUUGAAUGUAAAGUGAGCUACGCUCACAAAUUGAUCUGAAAUCAGGUAGGAUUACCCGCUGAACUUAA
rnacentral:misc_RNA from 1 species